GCCGGGUCCCCCAGCAGUGCCAGCACUGCGCUCGAAUUCUCGCCGGGCGUCAGCUGCCUCCCCGUAGGGCAGGGCUGGGGACCUGCAGCCCACCAUGCCCGAGCCUCCCCCUGGCCGUGGGCUCCUGCGCGGCCCAGCCUCCCCGACAAGCGCCGCCCCCUGCUCCGCGGCACGCCGGGUCCCAUCGACCGCCCAAGGGCUGAGGAGUGAGGGCGCAGGGCGCGGGACUGGCGGGCAGCUCCACCUGCAGCCCGGUUGGGGGAUCCACUAGGUGAAGCCAGCUGGGCUCCUGAGUCUAGUGGGGAUUUGGAGAACCUUUGUGUCUAGCUAAGGGACUGUAAAUACACCAAUCAGCACUCUGUGUCUGGCUCAAGGUUUGUAAAGGCACCAAUCAGUGCUCUGUGUCUAGCUAAUCUAGUGGGGACUUGGAGAACUUUUGUGUCUAGCUCAGGGAUUGUAAACGCACCAAUCAGCACCCUGCAAAACGGACCAAUCAGCUCUCUGUAAAACAGACCAAUCAGCUCUCUGCAAAAUGGACCAAUCAGCAAGAUGUGGGUGGGGCCAGAUAAGGGAAUAAAAGCAGGCUGCUGGAGCCAGUAAUGUUGACACCCUCGGGUUGUCUUCUGUGGUGUGGAGGCUUUGUUCUUUUGUUCUUUGUGAUAGAUCUAAUUGCUGCUCACUCUUUGGGUCUGUACUGCGUUUAUGAGCUGUGACACUCGCCGUGAAGGUCUGCAGCUUCACUCCUGAACCAGCGAGAGGAGGAACCCACCAGAAGGAGGAAAACGCGGAACACAUCUGAAUAUCAGAAGGAACAAACUCCAGACACGCCGCCUUUAAGAACUGUAACAGUCACCGCGAGGGUCCGUGGUUUCAUUCUUGAAGUAAGUGAGACCAAGAACCUGCCAAUUUCAGACACAAUGGAGAGCGCCAGUCCUGCUGCGGGGCCAUACAUCUAUUUAAUUUCCUCUCAUCUUCCCCCCGGUUCCGAGAGGAAGGUGCUUUCACCUGCACUGUUCCCAUGAGGAAACGAGGCUUCAGGAAUCUGAUAAAGCUUCCAAACUCCCGUGGCUGGCAGGAACCAAGGUUUCGAUGGCCGGACUUCUCAGCCCCCCAGGUGGAAAAGCAGGAGGCAUGACAGAUGAGGGUGAGAGUGCAUGCCAGGUCAGGCUGAGAAGGCGACAAUGCCAUAUGGUUUUUUCCACUUAGCUUAGCUCCAGGAUGACUUUGAACAGUGUUACAGCCCCAUGGGCAGAAAAUUGCACUUGCCUCAAGCUUCAUUAAAGCAAAUCGAGUCAGAAGGGAUUGAAACACCUGGAAGAAAUGCAAUGGAUUCAAACAGGGAAAAGGUGUGGGUCCGUCCCUUUUCCUGGUAAAUCCAGCAGCCUAGGAGAUGUCAGAAAAACAUUCCAAGGUUCCUGGACUUUUAAAGAGGCUAAGGAUGGGGCCUGCCAGGUACAGGAUGGCCCAUGCAGGUGGAGAUGCAGCCACAGGAUACCUGGGAUUCAUUGCAGCCUCGUCACUUACCAGUGUUGGCACUGUAUCGGUUAUCCCGAAUUUAACAGCCUAAAGCCACAUUCGUCAUCUUAUACUCUGUGGGGGUAGGGAAUCCAGGAGUGGAUUCACCAGGAGGUUCUGGCUGGGUGUCUCCCCGGAGCCGCAGGCGAGUGUGGGCCGUGGCAGCCAUCCCUGUUUCCAAGUGCACCAUGUGGCAGUUGGCUUGAGGCUCCAGGUCCUUGAGGUGCAGGCUUCCCCACGGGGCUGCUCGCGGCAUGGCUUCCUCACCCAGAGUGAUGGAUCCGAGAGAGAGCAGCCAAACUGAAAGCCACAGCCUUUUGUAAGCAAACCUCAGAAGUGACAUCUCGUCACAUCUGCCAUAUUCUACUGGUCGCACAGACCUAUCCUGCUACAUGGAAGGAGCAGCAGGAAGGUGGUGGGGAUUGCUGGGACCAUCUUGGAGGCUGCCACAGACAUCCAAGCCCCUCCAGGCAGGACAAACCAGGAUGAGAGGACAGUGUCGGGUGUAGCUGCCACCACCCAGUGUCGUCCAAGGAAAAUGGAGCAACCACAUCCUGCAUGGCAACACCAGGUGGCCAAGCCAGAUCGUGUGACCACUCGACGCUUCCCACCCACAGCAAAGAGGACAGGAGCUCCCAGUGCCUCAGACUGCAGAGUCUACCCCACGUGGAUGGAAGACAGUGAGGCUGGCCAGCUGCACGUGGAGGAUGUGACGUCUCUUCUCAGUCUUUGACCACAAACAUCCCAGAGGCACCCCCAGCUCAGUGUGCCCCAGAGACUCUAUCCCCCAACCUAGGCUCUGCCCACUCUGUUCCCUGCCUACCUACAAAGGGCCUACGCUGGGGCAGAGCCCCUUCCACACCCUGCUGGGUCUCCUGGGCCUUUGCUCAUGCUGUUCCCUCUGCCCGGAGCCCCUUCCCCUAAUGCCCUCCUCAUCCUUCCCCACUCAGGACCCCCCCGCCAGUCCCCACCCCCAGUAUUUCCUUGUCCAAGAGGGACUGGCACAUCAUGGUUUCUGUCCUGGGUCUGCCUUCCCUCCAGUGCGUGCGCUCCAGGUGGGCAGGGUCUACUCCCAGCGUCCAGAACACUGAGCCCCAAACGGACCGCCUGAGAUCCUAGCAGGGCCAGGAUGGGGUCGCACAGGAAGGAGAGGUCGCCCUGCAGGCGCAGGCUGGGAGGCACGGGUGAGAUAGGGCAGGCCAGGAUGGAGUCGCACAGGAAGGAGAGGUCGCCCUGCAGGUGCAGGCUGGGAGGCAUGGGUGAGACGGGGCAGGGGCUGCACUCAC
rnacentral:lncRNA from 1 species